GGCCCACAGCACAGUGGUCAGUGCACCAGCCAUAUACACUGAAGUUGGCAGGUUCAAACCCUGCCUGGGCCA
rnacentral:tRNA from 1 species